UACGUAGGGUGCAAGCGUUAAUCGGAAUUACUGGGCGUAAAGCGUGCGCAGGCGGUUUAUAUAAGACAGUUGUGAAAUCCCCGGGCUCAACCUGGGGAACUGCAUCUGUGACUGUAUAGCUAGAGUACGGUAGAGGGGGAUGGAAUUCCGCGUGUAGCAGUGAAAUGCGUAGAUAUGCGGAGGAACACCGAUGGCGAAGGCAAUCCCCUGGACCUGUACUGACGCUCAUGCACGAAAGCGUGGGGAGC
rnacentral:rRNA from 1 species